rfam:Oryctolagus cuniculus chromosome 3, whole genome shotgun sequence.
GGUGCUGUGGCGCAGCGGGUUAACGCCCUGGCCUGAAGCGCCAGCAUCCCAUAUGGGCGCUGGUUCGAGACCUGGCUGCUCCA